rnacentral:snoRNA from 1 species
AUUGAAGCAACUUAAAAGCCAAGCCUGGAAACGCCUCAUAGAUUAACUGUGUGGUUUCCUUUACUCAUAGAACUACCUGUUAGAUCUGUGGGAAAGAACUACAAGACAGAG